rnacentral:tRNA from 1 species
GGUAGGGUGGCUGAGGUAUAGGCGGUAGACUGUAAAUUUACUUAGGAGAAUUUUCUCUCCUACCA